rnacentral:rRNA from 1 species
ACGGGACUCUUCGGAGUUCAGUGGCGGACGGGUGAGUAACGCGUGAGAAUCUGCCUAGAGGAUGGGGACAACCGCGGGAAACUGUGGCUAAUACCCAAUGAGCGGAGACGUUAAAGAUUUAUCGCCUCUAGAGGAGCUCGCGUCUGAUUAGCUAGUUGGUGGGGUAAAAGCCUACCAAGGCGACGAUCAGUAGCUGGUCUGAGAGGACAACCAGCCACACUGGGACUGAGACACGGCCCAGACUCCUACGGGAGGCAGCAGUGGGGAAUUUUCCGCAAUGGGCGAAAGCCUGACGGAGCAAUACCGCGUGAGGGAGGAAGGCUCUUGGGUUGUAAACCUCUUUUCUCAGGGAAGAACACAAUGACGGUACCUGAGGAAUCAGCAUCGGCUAACUCCGUGCCAGCAGCCGCGGUAAUACGGAGGAUGCAAGCGUUAUCCGGAAUGAUUGGGCGUAAAGCGUCCGCAGGUGGCUUUGCAAGUCUGCUGUCAAAGCUCAGGGCUUAACCCUGAAUCGGCGGUGGAAACUGAAAGGCUAGAGUGUGGUAGGGGCAGAGGGAAUUCCCAGUGUAGCGGUGAAAUGCGUAGAGAUUGGGAAGAACACCAGUGGCGAAAGCGCUCUGCUAGACCGCAACUGACACUCAUGGACGAAAGCUAGGGGAGCGAAUGGGAUUAGAUACCCCAGUAGUCCUAGCC